UGUAGAGACAGGUGGUGUUGAGGUAAGGUGUAGAGUCAGGUAGUGUUGAGGUAAGGUGUAGAGCCAGGUGGUGUUGAGGUAAGGUGUAGAGCCAGGUAGUGUUGAGGUAAGGUGUAGAGCCAGGUAGUGUUGAGGUAAGGUGUAGAGUCUGGUGGUAGUGUUGAGGUAAGUGUAGAGCCAGGUGGUGUAGAG